UACGGGGGGGUGCGAGCGUUGUCCGGAAUCACUGGGCGUAAAGGGCGCGUAGGUGGCGUGAUAAGGGUGUGGUGAAAGCCCGGGGCUCAACCCCGGGUCUGCCAUGCCGACUGUCAGGCUGGAGUACUGUAGGGGCAGGCGGAAUUCCGGGUGUAGCGGUGGAAUGCGUAGAGAUCGGGAAGAACAUCAGUGGCGAAGGCGGCCUGCUGGGCUGUUGCUGACGCUGAGGCGCGACAGCGUGGGGAGCGAACAGG
rnacentral:rRNA from 1 species